GACUUUUGGAGGGCUGAGUUGCAGGCGGGCGGCGGGCGCAUCCCAGAGAUGGCGGGGCAGGGAGGGAGGGAAAGAGAGGAGGGGGUGGGGAGGGAGGCGCAGAUUUGCACGGAUGGCCUCAGCGGGAGGCGCGGAAAUGCUAGCCGAGCCUGCUGGCGUGAAAGCCCCCGGGGCCUGGCACCCCUCAAAACGACCCCCCCCACCUCUGCCCCUGCCCCCCCUCCCCCGCUUGGGUUACCUAGGGCUGUCCCUCUCUUCCUUCACCCACCUUUCCUCAUUACCUAUGCUGGCGACCUAAAUUCAAAGUAUUUUGUAUGUAUGAUUUCUUUUUCUGUUUUGCUUUUCUAUUGCAUGUCUAGGGGGGAGGGGCCAGCCUGUCCAGACCCUUAUCCAUUUGCGAACCUGCCAUAUGGAGGAGGCAUCUGAGGGGCUCAGGAAGAAAUGAUCGCAGCACUGUAUCUGUACAGACUGCAUAACUUUUAAACUCCCGGGGCUGAAAUAAUAAUAUGGAGACACACGCACAGGUACAGGAAAUACAGCCAGUCCACAGCCUUUUCAGACCGCAGCUGACCGGAAGAAAGCCUUUGGUUCAUUCAUUCGGAUAGCCUCGGUAGUAUAGCCCUGAAACAGAAGUUGGGCUUUUAAAAAGAAAGAAAAAAAAAAAAGUCUCUACACUCGCUCAGAAGAGAUAAAUCGAUACACAGGAGGGACUAGAGAAUCGGAUUCAGCGUCUCUAAUGCAGGCAGGCAAAAGGCUUCAGUGCCUUGUGGCUUGAAGUCAAAAAGAAAAAGAAAAAAAAAAACUCUUCAAAGACUGUCUGGCCUGACUCUUGGAGAACGGCUUAAUGUUCUACUUAGCAUUCUGGUUUUUUUGUUUGUUUUUUGUUUUUUCCAGUGUGCCUCUUCCUGUGUAAGGACUGGAAAGGACCCUGGGAAACCACAGAGCGCACCCCUGCCUCAAAGGAAUGAGGUGACCCUCCUCUGGUCUCUGUGAAUACAUCUGUCCAAGCAUCUGCAUGUAGCACAUACAUAAUAACCCAAUGCCCAAAUGCUGAGCCUGUGGCCCUAGAGGGCUGAUAGAUCUUUUUGCCUCUGUUAGACUGCCCUGAGAUCAGAGAGCUCCUGCACCCAGUGUACGUCAUAUCUGAAGUAGUGCCUCUGUCUGUCUGGUCCAAGACUACAACUUAAGUGGGAGCCCACACCCUGCCAUUUCUCCCCAAGUACCAGCCCUGCGUUACAAUCCCUCCCAUAAGGUGUAGUUUCUCUUUCCUGGGGAAAUUACUGCACUAGCUUUUGCAGGUGGUGUGUCACUGGCCACUGCCUUUUAACCCUUUUCAGAUGGCAUUCAGUAAUUCAUCGAUUGUUCAUGAGACGCAACCGUGAUACACACACACACACACACACACACACACACACACACACAGAGCAGCCUUUAUAGGAAACUCUCCUGUUCCCUCCCUCCCCGUGCCACCUGUUCCUGGAAGAGAACAGGCUUUCCCCUGGGGAGGAUGGAAUGUUCCACAAAAGGACAGUUGGCUCUUCUCCCCAGCUCCAAGAGAAACUCUUAAUCAUCUAACAUCUGCCUCUUGUUUAAGUAAAAAAUUCUUUGCAAAGACCGAUCUUGUCUCCAGCCCCAUGGAUCCGGCUCACAGGGUACACACUUAAAAAUACGUAGGGGGCUGGAGAGAUGGCCCAGUGGUUAAGGACACUUGCUGUCCUGACCAAAGGACCUGAGUGGCUCACAACCAUCUCUCAUGCAUGCUCUCAAAUGUGCGCGAGCACACACAUACCUGUGCGUAAAAAAUAUGAUUAAAAAAAAA
rnacentral:lncRNA from 1 species